UACGUAGGGUGCAAGCGUUAAUCGGAAUUACUGGGCGUAAAGCGUGCGCAGGCGGUUGUGCAAGACAGGUGUGAAAUCCCCGGGCUUAACCUGGGAACUGCACUUGUGACUGCACAGCUGGAGUGCGGCAGAGGGGGAUGGAAUUCCGCGUGUAGCAGUGAAAUGCGUAGAGAUCCGGAGGAACACCAAAGGCGAAGGCAGUGUCCUGGGGAGUACCUGACGCUCAGGUGCGAAAGCCAGGGGAGCGAACGGG
rnacentral:rRNA from 1 species